GUACGGCGAGUGAACAGGCAAGAGCUCAGAUUUGAAAGGCACUUUUGUGCCGUUGUAUUCUGAAGUUAGGGUCCUGAGAAACGAUGCUUAAGUCUUCUGGAAAGGAGCGCCAUGGAGGGUGAUAGCCCCGUCUAGCAUUGACCUCAUAUAGGAUCUUAACAUGGAGUCGAGUUGUUUGGGAAUGCAGCUCAAAUGGGUGGUAUGCUCCAUCUAAAGCUAAAUAUCUGCGAGAGACCGAUAGUAAACAAGUACUGUGAGGGAAAGAUGAAAAGAACUUUGAAAAGAGAGUGAAAAAGUACGUGAAAUUGUUGAAAUGGAAGGGUAGGCCGCUAACCAUGUAGAGCCGUGUUUGGGGGGAAGAUAAAUGCUGUAGAAUGUAGCUCCUCGGAGUAUUAUAGAUGCAGUUCAUAUUCCCACCCGAGCGCGAGGAUCUCAGGUUCUACUAAAUGGUGGUCUACCACCCGUCUUGAAACACGGACC
rnacentral:rRNA from 1 species